ACGGGAGGCAGCAGUGGGGAAUAUUGCACAAUGGGGGAAACCCUGAUGCAGCAACGCCGCGUGAAGGAUGAAGGCCUUUGGGUCGUAAACUUCUGUCCUUGAGGAAGAUAAUGACGGUACUCUUGGAGGAAGCCCCGGCUAACUACGUGCCAGCAGCCGCGGUAAUACGUAGGGGGCAAGCGUUAUCCGGAAUUAUUGGGCGUAAAGGGUGCGUAGGCGGUUUUUUAAGCGCGGGGUGAAAGGCAAUGGCUUAACCGUUGUUAGCCCUGCGAGCUGGGAGACUUGAGUGCUGGAGAGGAAAGCGGAAUUCCUAGUGUAGCGGUGAAAUGCGUAGAUAUUAGGAGGAACACCAGUGGCGAAGGCGGCUUUCUGGACAGUAACUGACGCUGAGGCACGAAAGUGUGGGGAGCAAACAGGAUUAGGUACCCUGGUA
rnacentral:rRNA from 1 species